GACGAACGCUGGCGGCGUGCUUAACACAUGCAAGUCGAACGCUGAAGCUUGGUGCUUGCACUGGGUGGAUGAGUGGCGAACGGGUGAGUAAUAAGUGAGUAACCUGCCCUUGACUCUGGGAUAAGCCUGGGAAACUGGGUCUAAUACUGGAUACGACAUGUCACCGCAUGGUGGUGUGUGGAAAGGGUUUUACUGGUUUUGGAUGGGCUCACGGCCUAUCAGCUUGUUGGUGGGGUAAUGGCUCACCAAGGCGACGACGGGUAGCCGGCCUGAGAGGGUUACCGGCCACACUGGGACUGAGACACGGCCCAGACUCCUACGGGAGGCAGCAGUGGGGAAUAUUGCACAAUGGGCGGAAGCCUGAUGCAGCGACGCCGCGUGAGGGAUGACGGCCUUCGGGUUGUAAACCUCUUUCAGCACGGAAGAAGCGAAAGUGACGGUACGUGCAGAAGAAGCGCCGGCUAACUACGUG
rnacentral:rRNA from 1 species